rnacentral:lncRNA from 1 species
GCUGUGUAAUGAAAUGAAAGUUGAGGGGUCUAAAUCCUAGUUAGUUAAUUCGCGAUUAAUACGCGAAUUAUUCGCGUACUUUUAAAAAUACGAAUUAAACGGGGCGUCCUGUAUUUUUUCAAAAAAUUAGGAAAAAACGCAAUUUUUUUCUCAAAAAUAAUUAUUCGUGAAUUAUUCGCGAUUCGCGAAUAAUUCGCCCAAAAAAUCGGCGAUCCGCCGAGGGUCGCGUCGUCGCCGCUCGCGUCGUCGUCGUCCUCCGCCGCCCUCGCCG